AUCUCUAAAUCUGCAAGCAACAAAUAGAUGACGUGGAAUAUGCUUUUCUUUUGAUGGGUGUAAGUGCUCGCGCUUGUCUCUGUUCUCAUGUGGCGGUGCAGUAAUGCAGCCCGUGCAGGGCUCCUUUCUACUAUAUAUAUUGAUCAAUCUAUAUCUAUAAAUCCCAGUAUCACCACCUCCUAUCUAUCCAUUUUGUCUGGCCUUCCUCGAUCCAACGAUGGGAGGAUGAGGAAACAAAAUGGCAUCCACCACAGAGCGAAUCAUAGAGAGCUUUGAUAUCUUCUUGAAAAAGUUGUUCAAGAACUGCGGCCUCAGAAGUUCUAGAUGAUCAACAACUCGGGAGACACUGCAUUACAAGUGUGUCUCCACUUGCAAAAAAGAGAGAUCUUAAAGUCCUUGUGCAAUUAAUUUAAUUCCGAUCAAACAGCUAGGCAAAGAAGCUCUCGAUUAUGUUGCAUCAAUAAUGUGAAAUGUGUCAAUGCAUUGCGGAAGUUGAUUCAUCAUUGGUGAGAGCUUGUAAUGAUCCGGGCUGUGAGACCCUUUAUCUUUUUCUUGGAAGCGCUCUAUGGUAAAGAGGAAGCUGUCCUUCGUCUUCACGAAAUCUGUGGCACCGAGAAUGGCAAUGAAUAUUCCCUGAGGAAGCGAGGAUGGUGAUGCUAUUCUUCGUUGUGCCAUUGCUGAAGACUAUUUUACUCAUCAAAAUAGCUCCAGCAAUGGCACAGUGAAGAAUAGUGUCUCCAUCUUCCCUCGGAGAAGCGAGGACCAAGCUAUAGGAUGGGACUUGGCUUAUAAAAAAGCGACAGAAGCAUGAACAUUUUUAAUUUAGGGAGCCGAUAGAGAUACACAGAAAUCCUACACACUAAUUAGUCUUUUUUUUUUUUCCUCCAGAAAGUGAGUAGAAUGUCUGUUAUUGCCAUGCCAUCCUGUCUGUAGAGUCCCAGCAAUUUCCAUUUCACAUGUUUUCAUUCCCGCCCAACGUCCUUGCAAGUCUUCUUCAGCAACUCAACGUCGGCCAUGGUUACAGUCACUCUGAAGCCCUCGCCGGUAGGUAUACACAAGAUAGAAUGGGAACAAAAUUUUUUACACAUUCCUUUUACACGAAGGUGGGAAAUAUUAGCAAAAAUGGCAUUUGUACACAUUCUGUAUCUCAUAUCUGUACAAAACUGAAAUAAAAGAGUUCUAAUUUGUUAUGCAUCCUUUGUUAUUUAUCAGCUUUUGUUAUCACCUUUACUUGCACCUUCCCAGUCGUGUUAUGGCCUUGCAUUUCAUUUUUUUUUAUGUUAUUGCCUUGUAUUUGUUUUCGAGUCUGAAGUAUGUAUUUGAGUUCUAGUCUAAAGUGUGCUCUAGUCUGAAGUGCGUUUUAUGUCUUAAGUCUGAAGUGUGUUCUAGUAUGAAACCAUAUAAUACGAGUUUUUAAUUUCGGUUUUGUAUAGAACUGUUUUUUUGAGAGGCACAGUGGUUUAUAUGUUGUUUUCAUUUGGGAGCCACGUCCGAAAUAUUGUUUUUGUUUGGAAGCCACCCAAUAUAGUUGUUUAUAUAUUUUUAUUAUUAUUUUAUUUUGUAACUACAAUCAAGAUGGACUCAUGUCGAUUGAUAUUUUCCGAAGAAGAACAUGACAUUGAUGAUCCUGACACUCCAAGAGGUUAGAUAUUAAUUAUUGAAUUUUUAAUGGCAUUGUUUUAUAAACUCUUUUUAAUAUCAAUUGUUUUAUGGUAUGCUUAACGGAUUUUAAAUAAAUCAUGUUUUGCUUAAUGUGGACCAACAAAAACAAGCUGGAUCUCAGUAUUCUGGGAAUCAAAAGGUUGAAGAACCAAGGAUUGAUAUGAUAUUUGGAACUCAAGUAAAUGUUACUGAAUACUACACAAAGUAAACCGGAAGGAUUUGGAGUGUCUAAAAGAAUAUCGACUAGUGGGCAUGAUUCCAGUGCUGAAAGAAACUUAAUACUCUGCUUGUUGAUGGAGAGAGUGACAGACUCUGUCAAGUCAAUAUUCCGAACAGUAAUCCCUUUAAUUGCAGCUAGUAGAUGUGGUUGAGAGUGUAAGUCGUGUUUUUUCUAUUGAAUUAUAUUUACCAAUCUGCAUCAUUUUUUUUUCUUUUUUUCUUUUUUCCUUUUUUUCAUUUCAGUUUUUUUAUGGUCUCUAUGUAAGAACUAAGAUGAGAAUGACGGUUUGGGGCUUAUGGUAGUUGAUGUUUUCUGUUUAGUAGUAUCGAGGCUGUAAGUGGGACUUUGUGAAACUAAUUCUUGGACCA